rnacentral:rRNA from 1 species
UGGGGAAUUUUGGACAAUGGGCGAAAGCCUGAUCCAGCAAUGCCGCGUGUGUGAAGAAGGCCUUCGGGUUGUAAAGCACUUUUGUCCGGAAAGAAAUCCUCUGGGUUAAUACCUCGGGGGGAUGACGGUACCGGAAGAAUAAGCACCGGCUAACUACGUGCCAGCAGCCGCGGUAAUACGUAGGGUGCAAGCGUUAAUCGGAAUUACUGGGCGUAAAGCGUGCGCAGGCGGUUUUGUAAGACGGAUGUGAAAUCCCCGGGCUUAACCUGGGAACUGCAUUCGUGACUGCAAGGCUAGAGUAUGGCAGAGGGGGGUAGAAUUCCACGUGUAGCAGUGAAAUGCGUAGAGAUGUGGAGGAAUACCGAUGGCGAAGGCAGCCCCCUGGCCAAUACUGACGCUCAUGCACGAAAGCGUGGGGAGCAAACAGGAUUAGAUACCCUGGUAGUCCACGCCCUAAACGAUGUCAACUAGUUGUUGGGGAUUCAUUUCCUUAGUAACGUAGCUAACGCGUGAAGUUGACCGCCUGGGGAGUACGGUCGCAAGAUUAAAACUCAAAUGAAUUGACGGGGUCAUAGCUGUUUCCU